rnacentral:rRNA from 1 species
AUUGAACGCUGGCGGCAGGCUUAACACAUGCAAGUCGAGCGGAGAUGAGGUGCUUGCACCUUAUCUUAGCGGCGGACGGGUGAGUAAUGCUUAGGAAUCUGCCUAUUAGUGGGGGACAACAUUCCGAAAGGAAUGCUAAUACCGCAUACGUCCUACGGGAGAAAGCAGGGGAUCUUCGGACCUUGCGCUAAUAGAUGAGCCUAAGUCGGAUUAGCUAGUUGGUGGGGUAAAGGCCUACCAAGGCGACGAUCUGUAGCGGGUCUGAGAGGAUGAUCCGGCACACUGGGACUGAGACACGGCCCAGAAUCCUACGGGAGGCAGCAGUGGGGAAUAUUGGACAAUGGGGGGAACCCUGAUCCAGCCAUGCUGCGUGUGUGAAGAAGGCCUUAUGGUUGUAAAGCACUUUAAGCGAGGAGGAGGCUACUGAGACUAAUACUCUUGGAUAGUGGACGUUACUCGCAGAAUAAGCACCGGCUAACUCUGUGCCAGCCGCCGCUGUAAUAC